CUGAUAUUGAGUUCAUUUGAUAUUGUGUUCCUAUAAACUAUCUGUUAGGUUGUCUGGUCCAACACUAUCGUAUUAAUAUUGUGUUCUUUUACUAUUUGUAAGUUUUUUGUAAGUGUUCAGUGAAAGAUAUGAGCAUAUCCAAUAAUGACAUUGAGCCUGACAGCGAUAUUAAAGAUUACAUCUCAUACAUUGCAGUUUGUGAUCAGUGUGAACAGAUUUCUCAUAAACAGAGAUUAUUAUUUCUCACACGCAACAUACAUCUAGGCCCAAUAUGAUAUGGGUUAUUGAUCUUCUUCAUGGGCAUCGCAUGCAUACCGUUCUGGUGCCCAGUCCUAACAGCGUCAGUGAACCCGAGAACCUUUGUCUACAUUUCUGCAGUGGUAAGUCCUCAUGGUUCGAGGAUCUAUGUUCCAGUUAUUCUGUAUUAUCAGUUGUUAUUUUAUUUCCUUUCAUUUGAGUAUGAGUCAGUUGGGGAUCUGUCCCAAUGGCUCUCUAACUCUUGAGUAAUAGAGGCUUUGUCAGACAAGAUUAUUAAUUGUGUUUGGACUUUUCGGUAUUUGAUACUCGAACUAUGUUUUCCAGUUAA